AUCACCUGAGAUCUUGUUAAGAUGCAGAUUCUGUUUCAGUGUAUUUGGAAUGGGGCCUAAGAUUCUGCAUCUCUAAUAAGCUUCCUCCCACGUGAUGUCAA
rnacentral:pre_miRNA from 1 species